rnacentral:rRNA from 1 species
CAGGCCUAACACAUGCAAGUCGAGCGAUGAGGCUCCCUUCGGGGAGUACAUCAGCGGCGGAUGGGUGAGUAACACGUGGGUGACCUGCCCCGAAGACGGGGAUAACUUCUGGAAACAGAAGCUAAUACCCGAUGCACUCGGUAGUUCGGUCUACUGAGUAAAGCUCCGGCGCUUCGGGAUGGGCCUGCGUCCCAUCAGCUAGUUGGUAGGGUAACGGCCUACCAAGGCGAAGACGGGUAGGGGACCUGAGAGGGUGGCCCCCCACAAUGGAACUGAAACACGGUCCAUACACCUACGGGUGGCAGCAGUAGGGAAUAUUGGUAAUCUGCGAAAGCGGGAACCAGCAACGCCGCGUGUGCGAAGAAGGCCUUCGGGUUGUAAAGCACUUUUUGGGAGGAAGAGGAAGGACUGUACUCCCAGAAUAAGUCUCGGCUAACUACGUGCCAGCAGCCGCGGUAAUACGUAUGAGGCUAACGUUAUCCGGAUUUACUGGGCGUAAAGCGCGUGCAAGCGGUUUGAUAAGUUGGGCGUGAAAGCUCCCGGCUCAACUGGGAGAGGUCGCUCUAUACUG